UACGUAGGGACCAAGCGUUGUCCGGAAUCAUUGGGCGUAAAGAGCGUGUAGGCGGCUUGUUAAGUCUUGUGUGAAAUGCCGGGGCUCAACCCCGGGACUGCGUCCGAUACUUCCGAGCUGGAGGUAGGUAGGGGGAGAUCGGAAUUCCUGGUGUAGCGGUGAAAUGCGCAGAUAUCAGGAGGAACACCGGUGGCGAAGGCGGAUCUCUGGGCCUUACCUGACGCUGAGGCGCGAAAGCUAGGGGAGCGAACAGGA
rnacentral:rRNA from 1 species